rnacentral:tRNA from 1 species
UCUAACGUGGCAGACAAGUGCAUUGGAUUUAAGCUCCAUAAAUAAAGUAUUUAACUUUCAUUAGAA